GGUGAAAAGCACCCCGGAAGGGGAGUGAAAUAGAACCUGAAACCGUGUGCUUACAAGUAGUCAGAGCCCGUUAAUGGGUGAUGGCGUGCCUUUUGUAGAAUGAACCGGCGAGUUACGAUUUGAUGCAAGGUUAAGCAGUAAAUGUGGAGCCGUAGCGAAAGCGAGUCUGAAUAGGGCGUUUAGUAUUUGGUCGUAGACCCGAAACCAGGUGAUCUACCCUUGGUCAGGUUGAAGUUCAGGUAACACUGAAUGGAGGACCGAACCGACUUACGUUGAAAAGUGAGCGGAUGAACUGAGGGUAGCGGAGAAAUUCCAAUCGAACCUGGAGAUAGCUGGUUCUCUCCGAAAUAGCUUUAGGGCUAGCCUCAAGUGAUGAUUAUUGGAGGUAGAGCACUGUUUGGACGAGGGGCCCCUCUCGGGUUACCGAAUUCAGACAAACUCCGAAUGCCAAUUAAUUUAACUUGGGAGUCAGAACAUGGGUGAUAAGGUCCGUGUUCGAAAGGGAAACAGCCCAGACCACCAGCUAAGGUCCCAAAAUAUAUGUUAAGUGGAAAAGGAUGUGGCGUUGCCCAGACAACUAGGAUGUUGGCUUAGAAGCAGCCAUCAUUUAAAGAGUGCGUAAUAGCUCACUAGUCGAGUGACACUGCGCCGAAAAUGUACCGGGGCUAAACAUAUUACCGAAGCUGUGGAUUGUCCUUUGGACAAUGGUAGGAGAGCGUUCUAAGGGCGUUGAAGCAUGAUCGUAAGGACAUGUGGAGCGCUUAGAAGUGAGAAUGCCGGUGUGAGUAGCGAAAGACGGGUGAGAAUCCCGUCCACCGAUUGACUAAGGU
rnacentral:rRNA from 1 species